rnacentral:rRNA from 1 species
UACGUAGGGUGCAAGCGUUGUCCGGAAUUAUUGGGCGUAAAGAGCUCGUAGGCGGUUUGUCGCGUCUGCUGUGAAAACCUAAGGCUCAACCUUGGGCUUGCAGUGGGUACGGGCAGACUAGAGUGCGGUAGGGGUGACUGGAAUUCCUGGUGUAGCGGUGAAAUGCGCAGAUAUCAGGAGGAACACCCGUAGCGAAGGCGGCACUCUGGGCCGAUACUGACACUGAGGAGCGAAAGCGUGGGGAGCGAACAGG